rnacentral:lncRNA from 1 species
CUUCAUCUCCUCCCUCUUUUCUUUUUACAGUUGUUUCAACUAUAGUCUUUUUGGUUCGAAUAUCUUCACCUCUGAUAUUUUUGGUUUGAACUUUUUUGACUCUACUCGACCAUUCCUCCUUAUCGAUAAGGAAGUUAUCUCUCUCCUUCAGACCCAUCUUUUUCUAUAGAGUUUUCAGUUUUGUGAAGAGAGAAAAAGAUGUUUGAGAUUGUGAAGAAGUGAGAGAAUUUGAGAUUUGAGGGAGAUGAAUUGGAG